UACGAAGGGGGCUAGCGUUGUUCGGAAUUACUGGGCGUAAAGCGCACGUAGGCGGAUCGAUCAGUCAGGGGUGAAAUCCCAGGGCUCAACCCUGGAACUGCCUUUGAUACUGUCGAUCUGGAGUAUGGAAGAGGUGAGUGGAAUUCCGAGUGUAGAGGUGAAAUUCGUAGAUAUUCGGAAGAACACCAGUGGCGAAGGCGACUUACUGGACACAUAUUGACGCUGAGGAGCGAAAAGCGUGGGGAGCGAACAGG
rnacentral:rRNA from 1 species